GCUUUUGCAGAGGACCCAGGGGAGACCAGAAGAGGGAAUUGGACCACCUGGAGCUAAAGUUACAGAGGGUCCUCAGAAUAGAGUUCUCAUCUUCUGCAAGAAUAUACAUGACCUGGCACUUAAUAA